rnacentral:rRNA from 1 species
UUGUCUUUUAAAUGAAGACCUGUAUGAACGGCUAGACGAGGGCUUGACUGUCUCCUUUUUCAUGUCAAUGAAAUUGAUCUCCCCGUGCAGAAGCGGGGAUAAAACCAUAAGACGAGAAGACCCUAUGGAGCUUAAGACACCAAGGAGGGCCAUGUCAACAAACCCCUGACAAGGGACUAAACAAGUGGAACACCUUCCCUUAUGUCUUUGGUUGGGGCGACCGCGGGGAACUAAAAAACCCCCACGUGGAACGGGCACAUCCCUUCCUUCAACUAAGAGCCACAGCUCUAAUUAACAGUAAUUCUGACCACUACAGAUCCGGCACAGCCGAUCAACGGACCUAGUUACCCUAGGGAUAACAGCGCAAUCCUCUUUUAGAGCCCAUAUCGACAAGAGGGUUUACGACCUCGAUG